rnacentral:lncRNA from 1 species
GGCAGAUUACUUCUGUGAGCAACUGGGUCUCUCAGUUCUUUGGGAGCACCCUGGGAAACAGUGUGGCUAUGACUUGGAGCUGCUCACCAGUUCCAGUCAUUCUGUGGUUGAGAGCUGCUCCCUAUGGAUGUUAAUUCUUCUCUAUUUUAGAUUUUCCACAGGUGUGGGCCCCAUUAGCUCUGGCCACCUGAGAAAGCCCUCAGGCAAAGAGUCGCAGGUGAAAGCCAGCAGUUAGAGGUUCACAGAAAUGAGUGCAGAAGCAUCUUCAGUUGGAGAGCCAUUGCCUCUUGCUGUGAAAUAUUUGGGAAUCUUCAGAAACCAUGAAGAAUAACCUGCUAAAGGCCACCAAGUUCUAUUGAACAUCAUGAAUCCUAUGCUCAAGUGAGAUCAGCUCAAGUGAGACCAGAUAUCUGAAGACCUUUUCAUUUUCGCCACCCUCAAAUGAAGGCAUGCAAGAUGCUGUAGAAGAACCUCUUCUGCAAGACCAUUCAUUCAUGCCUUGAGACAGUAUGAAUCAAGCUGACUUUUUUUUUUUCCAAGGAGUUUUUAAAGACCAUCAAGCUUCAGACCAUCAUGCAGCAAGGGCUCUAGCCAGUUCCAGGUGAAGACCCCACCCCGGGCCAUCAAGGAGCUUCCCUGCCUCCACUAGACAGAGCAGAGUGAGAGUUCCAUGAUCCCCAAUAGGUAGGGGCUAUGCCUCAAGCCAGCAUGAAGCAGUUACAGAAAAAAAGACCAUCAGUUCCUCUGCCUCCCAUGGGGAUCACAUCUUUCAGCAGGGAGAUGAGGCAUAAAAACAAGGUCUGGAGGCAGGGAAUUCAAGGCCGAUUCACACUUCAGCUAUGACAGGAAAUAUCCUCUCCAUAGGGUAUAGGCCAAGUAAAUGACUUUGUAACUUUACUCCUCAUUUUCAUAGGUUGCACCCCAAGUAAGCAAUGGAAUCCUCUAGAGGGUAUUUCCCCAAAAUUCUGUAAUGGGGUCCUUGAGCCCCUAUGCUCGGGCCCACUCCCACACUGUGGAGUGUACUUUCAUUUUCAAUAAAUCCCUCAUUUCUUC